rnacentral:rRNA from 1 species
GACGAACGCUGGCGGCGUGCCUAAUACAUGCAAGUAGGACGCAGUUGCGAACGGGUGAGUAACGCGUUGGUAACUGCCUAUUAGAGGGGGAUAACUAUUGGAAACGAUAGCUAAUACCGCAUACUAGUAGAUGGAACUGCGUUGUAUUAGCUAGUAGGUAGGGUAAUGGCCUACCUAGGCAACGAUACAUAGCCGACCUGAGAGGGUGAUCGGCCACACUGGGACUGAGACACGGCCCAGACUCCUACGGGAGGCAGCAGUGGGGAAUAUUGCACAAUGGGCGCAAGCCUGAUGCAGCCAUGCCGCGUGUAUGAAGAAGGCCCUAGGGUUGUAAAGUACUUUCAGUCGGGAGGCGUUACCGACAGAAGAAGCACCGGCUAACUCCGUGCCAGCAGCCGCGGUAAUUC